rnacentral:lncRNA from 1 species
AGGAAGAAGAAGGAGAAGGAGAGAGGAAAGGGGAGAUCGAGUGGGAUAGGGGUUUGAAGUUUCUUAUUUGUGAUGGGAUCGUUGACUUGGAAGUUGGAAGGAUUCUUCUUUCCGCUUUCUAACUUUUCUCUCUUUCUUUUUCUAUUUUUUUUAGGGGUUUAGGGUAACUCUUUUUAAAAGAAAAUUUUAAUUUUUUUUCCAUAUUAACCACACCUAUCAAUAUUGAUUUGGAUGAUUCAGGUUUCUUAAGCAAUUGUCCAUAUAAGGUGACUAAUUGAUUGGGAAACCAAUAAAUUACACAGAUGUAUGCAAUGUAUUGGUCCAAAUUAUUUUCUAGUAGGAAGGUAAUCUUAG